rnacentral:rRNA from 1 species
GUAGGUGGCAAGCGUUGUCCGGAAUUAUUGGGCGUAAAGCGCGCGCAGGUGGGUUCUUUAAGUCUGAUGUGAAAGCCCCCGGGCUCAACCGGGGAGGGUCAUUGGAAACUGGGGGAACUUGAGUGCAGGAGAGGAAGGUGGAAUUCCACGUGUAGCGGUGAAAUGCGUAGAUAUGUGGAGGAACACCAGUGGCGAAGGCGACUUUCUGGCCUGUAACUGACACUGAGGCGCGAAAGCGUGGGGAGCAAACAGGAUUAGAUACCCUGGUAGUCCACGCCGUAAACGAUGAGUGCUAAGUGUUGGGGGGUUUCCGCCCCUCAGUGCUGCAGCUAACGCAUUAAGCACUCCGCCUGGGGAGUACGGUCGCAAGACUG